UACUGGGCAUCGACAAAUUGUGUCUACAAUUAAUGCAGCGCCAUGUUCGGUUCGGUAAAAGGCAUAUAAGCGGUAUUUCAAGACAACUCUUUGUGUCAUUUCAAGUCGCCCCGUCUCGCGUGUCAUGGGGAGGGAGGGGGGUGUGGAGGCGUCGAAAGGAGGGGAAAUAGGUAGAGGAGGCGGUGAGUCGAGGAGGUGGCGGCACCGCGGCUAAGUCUCUGUGACGGCUGCCGCCACACCGUCUAGCUUGACCCCGUUCAGCUAGGCCGUUUCGUAUAUCCAUUGUUUAGUUGUCUUGAGCAGUUUGGGCAUGGUCUAGCCUUUAUAGGUAGAGCUAUGACUUGAUAUAAGUAGAGUAUAAGGGGUUAAGAAACGACUCGAUACGAUUUUUUUGCCCCCGCCUCCUGCGCCGGUGGACCAACCGCAGUUGCCGCUCGCAGGCUGUCCGGCAGUCAGAGUAAGUCAAAAGACAGCGGGGCGGGAUCUACUUCCACAACACAAUCGACUACCGUGCCUCGAGCAUGGACGUUGAUAACUGUUUCGUACAAUCCAUGUCCUUAUAACUUUCUACUGACCGCUUCAUACCAUGUAGGGUACCCUGUUUUAGUUAAAUGGAAGACCACAGUGGCGAGAUGACUUUAGUAGGUAGUCCUGACCGGGUCGUAACAGAUAAGGCUCCAGUAUACUCCCUUGGAGACACAAUUCGCGACGUAAUCCCGGUAUAUGGGUAACGGAUGGUAGACGACGAAACCGGACCUAACCGUAAACAAGUACGUGGUGUCACAGUAAACAAUGAAGUAACAGAACCAGACGACGGCGCUGGUCAGGAAGGUCUAAGAAUUAGCGGCCCUGUUUACCGGCUUGCACCACUUUUACCGCUGAGAAGAGGCCUGAGAAGUCCACCUAGACUAUCCGUACCAGUCUUUGUUUAGUGAGUCGUACCUAGUGACGUGCAAGCUGGAUAUACUACCGUGACCCAGGCAAUUACAUAUGAAGACCAAACUACCGGCAGUUCUGAGGUUCCUACGAACCAGCAAGUUGCUUCCGUACAUACAUGCACAACAACCCUCCCGAUGGUCAAACCUCGUUAAAAAGGUUUAGUUUCGGAUGUACCAGUCCUGGCAUUUCUUGAAGUUACUAUAUUGGGUAGUGAAAUAGAUGACGUAGUUCCGGGUAUAGCUAUAAAGAUUCGUCUCGUCUGAUUUCGAAGUCCUUUUAAGGCAACGGUGGGGCAGUCGUAGUUGGCAGUACGGUUCCAUAGUCUAACGAGGCUCGGUCUAUGGUCUUCUAACGUCGAAACUCCUAUUCUAUAAAAGGUAAAACGCGCUGGGUCGUAUGGCACUGUACCUAGUACCCCAUUCAGAUUUCGACGAAGCGUCGCGUGAACCGCGUUCAGUUCUGCUAUAGUACUUUCAUUAUUAUCUCGUUUAGGCUGAGCCACUCUACAUGUGAUGAUAGCCACUUGCGGUAAAGUUCAGAAGUUUGACUUCUGCAAGUAACAUAGCAGCGUUACGAUACCCACUAUGAAGCAAAAACAGUGGUCGGGGUUGCGGGGGGAACGUUUAGACGACCAAAGUCUGAUUAAUCCGGGCAUAAUAAAAACAUUAUUAUUAAUAGUUGAGUCACUAUAAUAGAACGAUCCCGAAAAACAUGGGGUAACCCUUCCUAAUAAAACGUGAAGUAACGAGGUGUACAAACACAUUUCUACAUUAGGGUGAGGAACUAAUUAGACCAAGAUCUCUAUCACGG
rnacentral:rRNA from 1 species